ensembl:lncRNA
GAUAGAGGGGCGGGGGAGUCAGAGAGAAAGAUAGACAGAUAGAGGGGCGGGGGAGUCAGAGAGAAAGAUAGACAGAUAGAGAGGCGGGGGAGUCAGAGAGAAAGAUGGACAGAUAGAGGGGCGGGGGAGUCAGAGAGAAAGGUGGACAGAUAGAGGGGGGGGGGAGUCAGAGAGAAAGAUGGACAGAUAGAGAGGCGGGGGAGUCAGAGAGAAAGAUGGACAGAUAGAGGGGCGGGGGAGUCAGAGAGAAAGAUAGACAGAUAGAGAGGUGGGGGAGUCAGAGAGAAAGGUGGACAGAUAGAGGGGCGGGGGAGUCAGAGAGAAAGGUGGACAGAUAGAGGGGCGGGGGAGUCAGAGAGAAAGAUGGACAGAGAGAGGGGCGGGGACUGAUAGGCUCUCUGUGUUCUUAUACCCUCUCUAUCAGAACAGAGAGAGAGAAAAAGAAAGAGAACGAAAGUCAGAAAGAGAGAGGAAUAAGGCAGAGGACAG